rnacentral:rRNA from 1 species
UACGUAGGGUCCGAGCGUUGUCCGGAAUUAUUGGGCGUAAAGAGCUCGUAGGCGGUCUGUCGCGUCGGCUGUGAAAUCCCCGAGGCUCAACCUCGGGUCUGCAGUCGAUACGGGCAAACUAGAGUAUUGCAGGGGAGACUGGAAUUCCUGGUGUAGCGGUGAAAUGCGCAGAUAUCAGGAGGAACACCUGCGGUGUAGACAGCUUUCUGGACCACUUCUGACGCUGAGACACGAAAGCGUGGGUAGCAAACAGG